UCCCCAUUUCCCUGUGGUUCCAGGAACACCUUUCUCCCCUGCUUGUAAUUAUAGGGAUUUUGCUCAUCCUUAGAGUUGAAUUUAUCUCAGUGCCAUGCAGCUCUUGAGCUCUCUGGAGUUAAUUAGUGGCACCAUGGAAGCUGAAUCAUGAAGUGCAUCAUUAAGAGCGGAGCACAGGUUAGGAAAAAAGUCAGGCCAGCAGCGUUUCAGGCACCUCCUUUUUCCUGAGGUUCCACAGGCUGUUUCCCCAGUUUCACUUUUUAAUGGCACUUUGUAAUGACUGGUGUCUCAGCCACAGGGACUGGAUGCAGUUGCCAAGAAAAACUGGCAAAACAGGAGGUGGAAGAGGUCCAUUAAUUGGCUCCAAGUACCAGUUUCUCUGGAGGGGCUUUUCUUACCGGAGAGAAACUGUUCAGCACUGCAGGAGCAGCUCAUACCUGCAGAGCAAAUGGCUUUCCUGAGUCUGAAGACAUCUACAGACCACGGAAGAUUACAAGUUGUGUUGAUAAAUGUAAUAGUACUGAUGUGAUAAACUUCUGGAAAGCCUGAGGAUCCUGGUCUGAUCUCGUGGCUGACCCUGCUUUGAGGAGCAGGUUGGAGUAGGUGACCUCCAACCUGGAACACCUCGUGGUCCUGUGCAAGUAUUGCCUUUGGCUGUGAAUAACCUCUUACACAAGACUGGGGGGAUAGAAAAGCAAUUAGGCACCACUGCAAGGGAUAAGAAACUGCUGCAGUCUCCAGUUUUAAAUGGGAAUUCAUCAGUGAGCAGACAUGCUUCUAAUGGAGUCCUGGGGUUAUCACAGAUCUAUCUUGUUGGAGAGGUCAAAACCUGGGGAAGAGAGAACUGAAAUAAAAGAUCACCAGUGCAGAACGAUUCAGAUCCCAUUAGUAACCUGGAUGAAAACAAGCAACCUGCUUUAAUAGGAUCCAUGUAGAGCUGGGCCAUGUCCUGGGAACUGCUGACAAGGAAAAAGAUGUGUGGAGGUGUGGGGACCAUCAGCCAAGCACAGACCCCUGUGUGGGAGUGUGACAGUGAAGGGAAAUGUCAGAUUUAAGUGUACAAAAAGAGGAAUAUUUGAGUCAGGGAGGAAGGUGUGCUCCUCUUGCAAUUUCUAGUUGUGACUUUGGUAGUUCAAGGAAGAUGUUGUCAUCAACAAUUGGAGAGAAUUGAGAGAAAGGGCUUGUUAAAUGAUUGGAAAGCAAAUCCACCCACUGGAGACAGUUUGCAUUGUCUGUCAAAGAGGAAGGUGAUGGGGAGGUUUGAUCACUCUGAUGGACAGGAACAUGAAUACAAUAAAAAGGCUGACUUCAGUCCAGCAAACAAACACAAUAAAACCCAGUGGAGAGAUACUGAAAGUAGAGGAACUCAGACUGGACACAAACCACAUUUCAGCAGUGAGAGCAAUUAACCACUCACAACAGCACACUGAGAAAUAUGAAGCUUUCUGUUUCAUUGGAAAUUUUUACAUGUUUUUCUUUUCCUAAAAUAUCUGCUCUAGUUCUAGAAGGAAUCAGUUCUGGGAAGUCUUAUGGCUUGGGUUAUCCAGGAGGUCAGAAGGGAAAAAUCACAGUGGUCUUGUCUGGUUUUGUCAUCGAUUAGUCCAAGAACCUCUGACACGGUAUGUGCUCCCAGCUCAGCUGCCUGUGUGUCACAGUGUAAUGCAAGGAAGGGCUUCUCAAAAAUAGGCUGAUCUAGGAGUCAAUUAGGAGUUUUAUUUAUUUCUUACCAGCUUAGAUGAGGAUUUCAGGAAAAAACACGAACUAGGGACUGAAUUUUCUGAAAAACUUAUUAAAGCAUAGCAGUUACAGAUUAAUUCACUCAGCUCCUUAUUGAUUCCUUCCCCUGCUUGGAGACCAGAGGCACAUCCACGCAGACAAGUGGCUCCACAGGCUCCUGUCAUGGCUGUGUCUCCUGGGAUGAGGACAUCAUUUAGGGGAUAUCUCUGGACUGUUUGUACAGCCACUUAACUCAGUUUAGAAACAUAUGGAGCACAAAGAGCAAAUGCUGAUCUCUCUGUGCCUGGAGUAAAGCUUGGGACGUGCUGGGAUGCUCAGAGACAGAAUUUGGGAGUUAAUCUGCACUGAAAGGGGACUGAAAAGAGCAAAGUCAGAUCUGCCCCAGCGUAAGCUGGCACUGUUCCAUGGGAGUUGAUGGUCUACCAGCUUUUCUGAGGGCAGCUCGUUGCCUCCCAUCAUCGCUGGGAGACCAGAAACUCGGGCUGGUGCCUUGUGCACUGAAAUAAAGGCUGAAGGGGAGGUGGCAGAACUGGACCUUGUGCCUAUUGUGAGACCUUCUCAUCCUGGAGUUGGCCUCUUGUAUUUCUCACACCAGAAGUUUGCUUCCAACCCAGAUCCAGAAAGAAGCACUGGAGCUGAGCAUCCAAACCCAUCCAUUGUCCUUGCCUCCAUGAGCAGCAGCAGGAUGACAGGCAGCAGCCAGGUGAGGAAAGACUCCCGAGCCUCGUGGCACGUGGCUCAGCCUGACCCCUGCUCUGGAGCAGCCGGGGACGUCGGGGAGAGAUUAGCAGUUAUACAGAAAAUUUGAAACAUCUGGAAACUGAAGACUUCUUUGCAUGCAGCAUUUCCAGUCUGAGUCCCAAGAAUCCUGAAUCCCAAGAGAACCUGUGCUGGAUCCCAGUGGUGGAUGAGGGCUGGUUCAGGAUUCUGCAGAGCGUGGUUGAGUGUGGGGAUGUGUCUCUGGACUUCAAUAGGCCAGUCCUGGACAGGAGUCCUAGGCUUGAAAGCAACUCCACAAUGUCUCACGGGUCUACAUGGAAGCGGAUCAAAGGUCCAGUGAGCAAAGUGUGUUCCUGACAUCUGUAAAUAAGGCACAAACAACUCAUGCAAGCUGGAAAGCCUUUCCCAUUAUUUCCCAAACACAGAAAUAUGCGUCUGCAAUGUGGCGCUUUUCAGAACAGCUUCCACUCAGAUGGUGGAGAAUCCAUCACAGCCCGGGGCUGCUGUGGCUCAGUGCUGUAAACUUUGAAGUGCUGUGUGGAUCCGCUGGAUUUUGACAGCACUCCCUGGGAAGUGCCAGCAGCUUUGCUCUGCCCUCCCUCCUGAUGGUGGGAUGUGCCAGGGACCUUCACCAUGGUUUCAAACCAGGUCCUGAACUGAGCACAGCGUCCUGCCCACCACAUUUAGAUGCAGUAACUGAUGCAAAGAGAGAGGGAAACAUAUUGAUGUUGUGGGAUGCACUUGAUUAAUCAAUUGGUCAAGGUGGCAGCAGAGAAGCUUUGUUGCCCCUUAUAAUGUUGUUCCUUCCCCUUCCUUGUGUCACAACAAGGACGUCGUUGUGUUUUGCUGAGUCCUUCCUUGCUUGGGGCCAGUCAUUUAUCAAAAGAGAUUUCCAUCUUGGCCUAAUAAUUCAUCGGUUAUUGCAGCCCUCACUGCUCCGAGGGCCCAUUUGUUUCUUCUUAUCACAGUCUAAUUAUUUGGUGAAGGAAAAUUUCUGACUGUCUUGGGGCCAGUGGCCGAGAGCUCAGGAGAACCUGGCUCCCAGGUGGGGAAGUGCUUGUGACCGUGGGAGAGGGGCUUCCAGGGGGUCAGACCCAUCUGUGGGACUGCUCCUGGGGCAGGGGGAUGCUGUAGGAGUCCAGUGGGUUCGACUUGAAACACAAAUAUCUUUUUUUUUUUUUGGCUUAACCUUCCCUUUGUGCAUUUUUCACAGGCAAAUGCUCCCACAUGUGUCACACCCACCCAUCUCCCACCACCCACACACACACUCUCUCACACACAGGCUCUCUCACACUCUCACACAUACUAAUAAAAAAUCCUGUAAAUUGAGGGGGUUUUUCUUU